AACGAACGCUGGCGGCGGGCUUAACACGUGCAAGUCGAACGCAUCCUUCGGGGUGAGUGGCAGACGGGUGAGUAACGCGUGGGAACGUGCCCUUCAGUUCGGAAUAACCCAGGGAAACUUGGGCUAAUACCGGAUACGUGCGAGAGCAGAAAGAUUUAUCGCUGAAGGAUCGGCCCGCGUCUGAUUAGCUAGUUGGUGGGGUAAUGGCCCACCAAGGCGACGAUCAGUAGCUGGUCUGAGAGGAUGAUCAGCCACAUUGGGACUGAGACACGGCCCAGACUCCUACGGGAGGCAGCAGUGGGGAAUAUUGGACAAUGGGCGCAAGCCUGGUCCAGCCAUGCCGCGUGAGUGAUGACGGCCUUAGGGUUGUAAAGCUCUUUCGUCCGGGACGAUAAUGACGGUACCGGAAGAAGAAGCCCCGGCUAACUUCGUGCCAGCCGCCGCGGUAA
rnacentral:rRNA from 1 species